rnacentral:lncRNA from 1 species
GUUUUUUGUUUCAUUUGAUUUGAUGGUUUUCAUUUUCAUUUGAUUGCUUCUGCUUCAUCAGGAAUACUGAUGAACAGAUCCAGGCUGCAGUGGUGUAUACGCUCCCAAACAAUGAAAUCACAAACCCCAGUGACUUCCUGACUACCAUGCUGAAGAUUAGUGGUAAUCUACCCACAACAACAGCAGCAGCUCCUGUUCCUACUGUCCUCCUGACCUCAUUUACAUCCACCACUGCCAGUACAUGGGGUUUCCCAGGCUGGGCCCUGGCUAUCAUCAUCCCCUGUGGGAUUGCAAUCCUCCU